AACGCGAAGAACCUUACCUACCCUUGACAUCCUAGGAAUCCUGCAGAGAUGCGGGAGUGUCGAAAGAAACCUAGAGACAGGUGCUGCAUGGCUGUCGUCAGCUCGUGUUGUGAGAUGUUGGGUUAAGUCCCGUAACGAGCGCAACCCCUAUCUUUAGUUACCAGCACGUAAAGGUGGGGACUCUAAAGAGACUGCCGGUGAAGAACCGGAGGAAGGCGGGGACGACGUCAAGUCAUCAUGGCCUUUAUGGGUAGGGCUACACACGUGCUACAAUGGGGCGUACAGAGGGAAGCCAACCCGCGAGGGGGAGCCAAUCCCAGGAAAGCGUCUCGUAGUCCGGAUUGAAGUCUGCAACUCGACUUCAUGAAGUUGGAAUCGCUAGUAAUCGCGAAUCAGAACGUCGCGGUGAAUACGUUCCCGGGCCUUGUACACACCGCUACAGU
rnacentral:rRNA from 1 species